AACGAUUAGCUCAUAAAUGGUGUAUUUUACUUAAUAGGGAAUAAGGUUAAAAUCCUUAACUACCCCAGUAACCGUAAGGAUGACGAAAUCUCAAAAUGUCACUGCAUAUAAUGUGGGAAGGCGAGAUAGAGGAUGAAUCUAAGUCGGGAUACCUGCCUUUAUGUGAGUACUAUA
rnacentral:ncRNA from 2 species